rnacentral:tRNA from 1 species
AGCAUCGGCCUGGAAUCGAACCCGGGCCGCGUGGCAGGCGAGCAUUCUACCACUGAACCACCGAUGG